rnacentral:tRNA from 1 species
GUUGAAGUGGCUGAGUUAUAAGCGGUAAAUUGUAAAUUUAUGAACGAGAAUUAUUCUCCUUUAACA